CAACACGAAGGGGACCCGAAGGUCCCCUUUAAUGUGCGUUGCCUGCUCUUUUUUUAUUAUUGAGGGGCGGUCUAUUGUUGUUUUUGGCAACCGUUACCCUUUACCGCUGUUUUUGGCGAUCCCCAUCCGGGAUCAAGAGCAAACGUAUUUUUUUGAGCGCUGAUCUGCUUCUUCGCAAGCGAUCCAACCAGUGGGUAGCUACCUGAAGGUAGUU
rnacentral:misc_RNA from 1 species